CACUCUCCGCACGCGUCCGCCUGAUUGGACGAGGGGUGGAGCCACAAGGAGGGGGGGGCUCUGCCCAGCGAAGACCUCACUCUGGGCGUGGUCUGCAGAGGCCUCUUCUUCUCUGGAACCGCUGACGUGAUUUCACCGCUCAAGGAGGAGCCAGCGCGAGGUGGCGUCGCAGGCUGACUUGCUUUCCCGUCAGCAGCGCGCCUUUCAGGUCCGCCCGGAAUAACGAGACUUUCUCUCGCCAAUUGGCUCACCUCCCCUCCGCUCCGCUCCCACCGCCACGCUCCCAAAAGAACUCUCAAGGGCUCCUCGCCUGCAGUCUCCUAAGCAUUUCUACAAUUUGUUAAGACAACGGCUAGGGCUGUUGGGUUGGAUUCCUAAACUUCUCACAAUACCAAGCAAAUUCUCAUCUGGAGGAGAUUGGUAAAGGAAGAUUCUUGGUCUCGCAGGCAAUUCUGGAGGAGUGGCAGCCCUUAAGCAAAUCCCAUUGACACAACCAGUCAAACAGAAACAGUACCCAAGAAGACAGGAAGCACAACCCUAUCCCACGCCUGAAAUGUGCUGUUGUGACUCUGCAGACCAGAUUUUUCUUCCUGCCUUGUGAUGCUUAGUCUUGUCGCAAAGAUACAAAGAAGAUCCAAGAAAGUAAGGAGGAAACAAUCCAUAAGAAAACCUGUUUUUACAAGAACUUCUGUUUGAACUCAAGGUUUGAAGUGUUAAGAAUGGGACACACACAUACCUAUGUUCCAGCUCAGCUUUUGUGACAUGAUGGAUAUACACAAGGUUUACAGUGUAAUCAUCAGAAUAAUGUCCUGUCAAAUAUUGUGGAGGAAGAACACAUAAGUCUGCUCAUUGCCGUCAUUCUGAUCACCAUCUUGAAACCUGGGGCCACUACAGUCAAGCCGAAUCAGGGCACGGCAUCGGUAAUGACAGAUGAACUUGCAGUCUAAAGAAAGUAACAGGAAGGAAUCAUAAGACAAGAGGACAAAACUCAGGGUGAAAAUAAACCCAUCAGAUUUAGCCUGUGAAAGGAAAUGCAUUUCUCAGGAGUCACCAUGUGCCAAUCUCCAGAGGGUGGAAAAGGGCAAAUCAGAUAUAAUUGUCCAGACUCCAGCUCAGCUUCUGCAAUCCUUGUUGGGAACAAAGAAGGGUUAUGAAGGAUAUUUCUGCAAGGUUCUUUUGCAUCUCCACACAGACUAAACUCAUUCAGGAUACAUGAAGCCACACAGCGGUUAUGCACAGCCUACUUUUAGAGAGGAACUAAAUCAGUUUCCUAAUCCUGUGUUUGCCAAGAUAAUGCAGGGCAGGGGGAGAUUUGUAGAGGGGAAUUGGCAGUCUUCCCUGACAAAUGCUGUUUUUCUCCCAAGGUUAAUGUCUUGCACCAGAGGUAGUUCACUUGAGGUGGCUCACUUGCAGGGGAAGUUGGAGAGAAGUGCUCAACCAUUCCCCUACUUUACAAAUCUCACUCCCAGCUGAUAUUGAUCCCCCCCCCGCCCUCAGCCUAUGUUAGAGGAUCAUGUAUUUGUGGGAGCAAACACCCUUUUUGGAUUUACCCCUGGUGCCUAACCCCUGAUCGGUGUUCGGUUCUCCACUGCUGCCUCCCGGCUCCCAGUCUGUUCCUGAGGAAAGAGGUCCUUCAGUUGCAUCUGAGUCCAAUUGCCACAAAAAUGAGCGAGGUAGUAUAAUAACCGCUGCGACCCCCUGGACUUCUCCCUAUCCCUGUUCUUUCCUAAAUCCAAAAACUAUUUUUUCUAAAGCCUUCUUCCUCUAGCCAGCCUGGAAUUCAUGUAAUUCGGACACCAAGCUAAAUUGCCUCUUUGCAAGCUACGUGGUUAAUCUCUGUGACAUAUUUUAGUAAUAAUAUUGCCUUAAUCAACUCUUUUCCCACUGUACCCCUAAAAAUCAAUUGUAUUUGUGAUUCUCAA